GUUUCACUUCGAUUGACCUCCUGAAACUGAAAUGGCUCACAGAUCAAGAUCUGGUCAGAUCUGACUUUGUCGAAUUAAACCAGGAGCUUGGAGACGAAUUUUUGAAUGAAACCAACUGGGGGGUACUUAGUUUGUGCCAUGGUGAUAGCUAGAGAGGCAAUUGCUAAGUCGUGGCACUCUCAUACCUCUACUAGAUGCGAACAAUUCCGGAGAAGAAGAAGAAGUGGAUUGGACAAGGAUUCUUUAUAUGUUGUUGGAAUUCUUAUAUUGAUGGAGUUGAAGACGUACAGGGACAAAUAAGCCAAG